GGGUGAUGGUGGCGGACGGGUGAGUAACGCGUAAAGAACUUGCCCUGCAGUCUGGGACAACAUUUGGAAACGAAUGCUAAUACCGGAUAUUAUGCGAAUCUCGCAUGAGAUUCGUAUGAAAGCUAUAUGCGCUGCAGGAGAGCUUUGCGUCCUAUUAGCUAGUUGGUGAGGUAACGGCUCACCAAGGCGAUGAUAGGUAGCCGGCCUGAGAGGGUGAAC
rnacentral:rRNA from 1 species